UACGUAGGGUGCAAGCGUUAAUCGGAAUUACUGGGCGUAAAGCGUGCGCAGGCGGCUUUGCAAGUCAGAUGUGAAAUCCCCGGGCUUAACCUGGGAACUGCAUUUGUGACUGCAUGGCUGGAGUGCGGCAGAGGGGGAUGGAAUUCCGCGUGUAGCAGUGAAAUGCGUAGAUAUGCGGAGGAACACCGAUGGCGAAGGCAAUCCCCUGGGCCUGCACUGACGCUCAUGCACGGAAGCGUGGGGAGCAAACAGG
rnacentral:rRNA from 1 species